UACGGGAUUCCCUCAGUAGGGGCGACCGAACAGGGAUGAGCCCAGCGCAGAACCUCCCGGGCCACCCGGCCUGCGGCGGAAUGUUGCGUAAAGGGAAAGGUCGUAGUCAAACCCCUCAGCCACGCGAUCUCUAAGUCAGCCACGAAUAGGCUAUCCCAACUAACGGCGGGAAAGACUCCACGGAGGGUGUAAGACCCGUGUGGGCGCGUGUCAAAGCUGUGUGGGCUCGGCCUCUUUUCCCUGAGAGUCGCGUUGCUUGAGCAUGCAGCGCUAAGCAGGUCGUAAACUCGAUCUAAGGCUAAAUAUCUCCACAGAACCGAUAGCGAACAAGUACCGUGAGGGAAAGUUGAAAAGCACUCUGGAGAGAGAGUCAAAAGACCGUGAAACCGCUCAGAGUAUAAGCCCAUGGCAGCUUGGAAGGCAUAUUGCUAGCGGGGCAUCGAGGACCUUCCCUCUCGGGGGUUGGCGAUCGGUGUUACCUUGCUUCUGUUGUGGCUCGUCAGGUAGGGCGGUCAAGUCCGAAUCCCGCCGACGUGUGGGGGGUUCUUUGUGCGUUGUUGCUCUUCGGUUGGCUUCGGUCGGCCGUUGGGCUCUUCGUGCUUGGUUCCUCUUGAUUUACACGGACGUUCAUACUCAGUUGCAAGACGCAAUAACAAGCCCACCACGGCACGUUGUGAGGUCACCCACAGGCUCAACUUUCGAUUGUGGUCCUUGACGCCGAGCAAGCACAAUGCGUGUCGCAGACGUUCCUAACCGGACCUCUCUCGGGUCAGGAUUGUGGGACGACACGCGCUCAACAGUCAGGUCCGGGCGAUGACAGAGUGCUGGUACGAUCCUCUUGCGACGAGCCGCCUUCUGGCCGAUUUCCGAUGAUCAGGUCUCCCGCAUGUGCCGCGGGAGACCGCGCUUUACGGUCUGGAGCUUUUACAAGUCCUCUCAGUUGAGCGUCGGAAAGAGUGGUGUAAAGUCCAAGCCCAUCGGUCACGUCUCGAAACACGGGCCAAGGAGUAUAGCAUGUGUGCAAGUCUAAGGGUCUCACAAAACCUGAAGGCGAAGUGAAAGCAAGUAAGCGGCGGGUGAUCUUCGGAGAUAUCCCGUCAGCUAGAGGGGUCGUCAGACCCCUCCGGCUUUGGCAGAGUUGAUCCUGCAGCGGUACCGCACACGUACGCUCAGGCGCAAACUCCAGGCUCACGUUUCGCACUGGUCUUCGGACUGUGCUGUGAGCACUGUGGAGCAUGCAUGCUAUGACCCGAAAGAUAGUGAACUAUGCCUGGCGAGGGCGAAGCCCCAGGAAACUGGGGUGGAGGCCCGUAGCCGUUGUGACGUGCAAAUCCAUGGUAUCAGUUGGGCAUAGGGGCGAAAGACCAAUCGA
rnacentral:rRNA from 1 species